rnacentral:tRNA from 3 species
GGGGCUGUAGCUCAGAUGGGAGAGCGUCGCGUUCGCAAUGCGAAGGUCAGGGGUUCGAUUCCCCUCAGCUCCACCA